AUUGAACGCUAGCGGCAUGCCUUACACAUGCAAGUCGAACGGAGUGGCGGACGGGUGAGUAAUGUAUAGGAACGUGCCUAGUCGCGGGGGAUAACGACGCGAAAGGGUAGCUAAUACCGCAUACUAUCGGAGAGGCCGAUAUCGGAUUAGCUAGUUGGUGGGGUAACGGCUCACCAAGGCGACGAUCCGUAGCUGGUUUGGGAGGACGACCAGCCACACUGUGACUGAGACACGUCCCAGACUCCUACGGGAGGCAGCAGUGGGGAAUUUUGGACAAUGGGCGAAACCCUGAUGCAGCCAUGCCGCGUGUAUGAUGAAGGCCUUCGGGUUGUAAAGUACUUUUGGCAGGGAAGCGGUACCUGCAGAAGAAGCACCGGCUAACUACGUGCCAGCAGCCGCGGUAAUAC
rnacentral:rRNA from 1 species